rnacentral:rRNA from 1 species
AGAACGAACGCUGGCGGCAUGCCUAACACAUGCAAGUCGAACGAGACCUUCGGGUCUAGUGGCGCACGGGUGCGUAACGCGUGGGAAUCUGCCCUUAGGUACGGAAUAACUCAGGGAAACUUGUGCUAAUACCGUAUGAUGUCGAGAGACCAAAAAUUUAUCGCCUAGGGAUGAGCCCGCGUAGGAUUAGCUAGUUGGUGGGGUAAAGGCCUACCAAGGCUACGAUCCUUAGCUGGUCUGAGAGGAUGAUCAGCCACACUGGGACUGAGACACGGCCCAGACUCCUACGGGAGGCAGCAGUGGGGAAUAUUGGACAAUGGGCGAAAGCCUGAUCCAGCAAUGCCGCGUGAGUGAAGAAGGCCUUCGGGUUGUAAAGCUCUUUUACCCGGGAAGAUAAUGACUGUACCGGGAGAAUAAGACUCCGGCUAACUCCGCGCCAGCAGCCGC